AACAAUCCUCCCAUGUAGCUCGAUCAGGUGGCAACUAGUCCCAUUGCACUAGAACCUGAGAAACAACCUUAUUUCCUUUUUGGAUCAUGCACCUCUCCAGAAUCUUGUAUGGCUGGGGACAGUAAGGACUUGACAGUUCAACUAUGGGAGAAUGAGAUGUUUUUUCUGGUAGCUCAUGGAAUUUCUUGAGCUGAGAGACGUGAAACGUUGGGUGCAGUACUAGCUGGGGAGGAAGAGAGAGUUUGUAGGCAACAUUUCCCACUUUUUGUAGUACCUAAUAGGGCCAUAACAUUUAACAGAAAGCUUAGAAAAUUGUCCUCCUAACAUAGAGAUUUGCCUGUAAGGUUGGAUUUUAACAUACACCCAAUCACCCUCUUUGAAUUGUCUAUCCGAUCUAUGUUUAUUGGCUUGGUUCACCAUUCUCUGUUGAGCCCUCUUGAGGUGAUAUUUCAGAAGAUAUACUUUGAACUCCCUCGUGAACAGGCUUCUAUCCACUUCCUCCAUACUUGAGUCUCUAGCAGCAUAAGGCAAGUGCAAAGGAGGGGUUAGCCAUAUAAUGCUUCAUAUGGUGUACAAUGUAUGGAAGAGUGAAAGAUAGUAUUGUACCACCACUCAGCUGCUCCCAAGUAGUGCAUCCAGUCCUUUUGGGAAUCGGAACAGAAACAUCUCAAGUAAGUCUCCACACACCUAUUAACUACCGCAAUUUGGCUAUUUGUUUGAGGAUGGUAGGCUGUUGAGGUAUUGAAGGUUACUCCUAACAUGGAAAACAAUUCUUGCCAAGCCCAAAUAUCACUGCUGCCUAUAGGAAACACUAGAAAAUUAUCUUGAAACACUGCACCUUGCAUGAGCCACUGAAAUCCUUUACACAUUUUCGCUGUAGGUACCUCUUUAUCAUCAGC
rnacentral:lncRNA from 1 species